rnacentral:rRNA from 1 species
AGCGAACGCUGGCGGCAGGCCUAACACAUGCAAGUCGAGCGGCCGUAGCAAUACGGCAGCGGCAGACGGGAGAGUAACACGUGGGAACGUGCCCAUCAGUUCGGAACAACCCAGGGAAACUUGGGCUAAUACCGGAUACGCCCUUACGGGGAAAGAUUUAUCGCUGAUGGAGCGGCCCGCGUCUGAUUAGCUAGUUGGUGAGGUAACGGCUCACCAAGGCGACGAUCAGUAGCUGGUCUGAGAGGAUGAUCAGCCUCACUGGGACUGAGACACGGCCCAGACUCCUACGGGAGGCAGCAGUGGGGAAUAUUGGACAAUGGGCGCAAGCCUGAUCCAGCCAUGCCGCGUGGAUGAUGAAGGCCCUAGGGUUGUAAAGUCCUUUCGGCGGGGAAGAUAAUGACGGUACCCGCAGAAGAAGCCCCGGCUAACUUCGUGC